rnacentral:rRNA from 1 species
ACAAGUCGAGCGGAACGAGUUAUCUGAACCUUCGGGGAACGAUAACGGCGUCGAGCGGCGGACGGGUGAGUAAUGCCUAGGAAAUUGCCCUGAUGUGGGGGAUAACCAUUGGAAACGAUGGCUAAUACCGCAUGAUGCCUACGGGCCAAAGAGGGGGACCUUCGGGCCUCUCGCGUCAGGAUAUGCCUAGGUGGGAUUAGCUAGUUGGUGAGGUAAGGGCUCACCAAGGCGACGAUCCCUAGCUGGUCUGAGAGGAUGAUCAGCCACACUGGAACUGAGACACGGUCCAGACUCCUACGGGAGGCAGCAGUGGGGAAUAUUGCACAAUGGGCGCAAGCCUGAUGCAGCCAUGCCGCGUGUAUGAAGAAGGCCUUCGGGUUGUAAAGUACUUUCAGUCGUGAGGAAGGCGUUGUAGUUAAUAGCUGCAUCGUUUGACGUUAGCGACAGAAGAAGCACCGGCUAACUCCGUGCCAGCAGC